UAGGGAAUCUUCCACAAUGGACGCAAGUCUGAUGGAGCAACGCCGCGUGAGUGAAGAAGGGUUUCGGCUCGUAAAGCUCUGUUGUUAAAGAAGAACACGUAUGAGAGUAACUGUUCAUACGUUGACGGUAUUUAACCAGAAAGUCACGGCUAACUACGUGCCUG
rnacentral:rRNA from 1 species